rnacentral:snoRNA from 1 species
AGACUAUGAUGAGGACAAUGUCGAAGUAAUUCUUUGUAUCUUUCUCUAGCCUCAUACAAUGAUUCAGAAUCUUGUUGUCGGAAUGAUGUAAUAUCAUUCCUCAUUUU